rnacentral:lncRNA from 1 species
GCCGCUGAGGGGAGCGACCGGCGGCAGCGUGGCGCUGGCGGUGUGGCUCCUCAGGACCGGCGGUUCGCAGCGUAGCGGCGCUUCGCCUCUCCCAAGGCGCCUUCCUCCGCGCGUGUGGUCGCUGUACCGAGUUGGAGAAGGGGUGCGAGGCGCUCCCGUGUCCGCCUGGCUCUAUCCCUGCCCCCGGCCCGGGGGUUUCCCCGCAGCGGUGGCCGUGCGGCGCUGGAGGGAUGCCCUUGAGAUGGGGCGGUAGCAGCCGCGUGUCCUGCGGCCUCCGCUGCGCUGGCCGUGCCGCGGCCGCAGGUGUCGCCCGCCGGGUGGUGACAUCCGCCAUAGUGCUUAAAGGCUGGGGGUUUAUAGGCUGUAAGUGUCCCGUUGGGCGUACAGAGACCAACAGCCGUGAUCCCGUAGCCCGUAUUCCUGUCUCCUGCAGUCCCAGCCAGGAUACAGAGGGACCGAGCUGCUAUGCUACCUGCAGGAAGGAGCUGAGUUAGAGUGACUUGUUGCAGAUGACUGCAGCAGGGAUGAUUGUAGAGAGAAGCUCUACUUGCCGUUUUACCAACAGAUUCAGAAAGAAUGAGACACCUUCUGACUGUCAUCGUUGCCAUCAGCAAGGAGCAGAACUCACAACACUGGACGUGGUCCUUUUGCUUCUGGCACGUAGAAGAUGGCAAUGGCACAGCAAUGGGAAACAAUGACACAUUUUUGUUUGCAUAUAACCAGCUUUUCUUUUUUUCCAGGGAAUAUGCUAGAUUUAUAGGCAAUCAGUUACAAGAACCUGGUCUUGUAGUGGAAAUAAUAUACCUUACAUAAACCAGAUCUCACACAUGCACUCCAAGAAGUUAAUGAUGGCUUUGUAUUCUUGAACAGCCCAAUUUAGCACUUCCCUCGUGCACUGUAAUCAUGCUUCAGUCUUCUAUCAAAAGAAAUCUAGCACUAAAAUCUGAUAAGGCAAGAAUUACUAACUGCAUUUUUCUCUAUGUGUUUGCUUGUUUGAGAGAUGUCACUUAAAAUAGUCCUCAUUCAGAAUUGCAGUUUAAAUUUCUUUUAACCCACUAAAAUUUUAAAUGCUGAUUCAUUGUGCUUCUGGGUAAAGGGCUUGACCUAGUUAAAAUGAGACAGCUUUGAAACAGUUCACUGAAUUUCUAAUAAUUCGUAUUACAUGGAGUGAUUAAAUAUUUGUCCUGGAUUGCUGCUUGAAUGACAUAAAAUGCAUGGAACAAACUGCCAUAUACAAUAAUUAAUGAUAGUUAUGUAGAAAUUGCUUAAUUAAAAUUUCCCUUUCUUGCAUCGA